rnacentral:rRNA from 1 species
CUCCUACGGGAGGCAGCAGUGGGGAAUUUUGCGCAAUGGGCGAAAGCCUGACGCAGCAACGCCGCGUGGGUGAUGAAGGUCUUCGGAUCGUAAAACCCUGUCGUUGGGGACGAAGGCGGUUUGGUGAACAGCCAGAUUGCUUGACGGUACCCGGAGAGGAAGCCCCGGCUAACUCUGUGCCAGCAGCCGCGGUAAUACAGAGGGGGCAAGCGUUAUUCGGAAUUAUUGGGCGUAAAGGGCGCGUAGGCGGUUUUUUAAGUCAGAUGUGUAAUCCCCGAGCUCAACUUGGGAACUGCAUCUGAGACUGGAAGGCUAGAGUGCUGGAGAGGGUGGUGGAAUUCCUCGUGUAGCGGUGAAAUGCGUAGAGAUGAGGAGGAACACCAGUGGCGAAGGCGGCCACCUGGACAGCAACUGACGCUGAGGCGCGAAAGUGUGGGUAGCAAACAGGAUUAGAUACCCUGGUAGUCCACACUGUAAACGAUGAACACUUGGUGUGGAGGGAGUUGACCCCUUCCGUGCCGGAGCUAACGCGUUAAG